GGAAGAGGAAGAUAGAGAAGAAGCCAAAGAAAAAGAAGAAAAGAGCUCCAAAAUCUCCUCUGCCGCUAAAAGUGACCAUUUUUUUUCUUCUUUCUUUGCACAAUUUUCGCAUUUUAUCUCAUUUCGUGGGCAAACAAAAGAAGAGGGAAGAGAAGAGAGAGGAGAGGG
rnacentral:ribozyme from 13 species